UACUGGCAUGGGCUUGAUCGUCUCCUGCUUGACGUGCACAGUAUCAUAUCUGCCCAGGACGCGAUGGAACUGAAGCCUGUUUAGAUCGAUCAUCUCUGGGAUGUACUUGUGCAGCAUUAAUUGUGGAUUUGUCCAUCACUUGCCUGGGGAUACAAACAACAACGACUUAUUUCAGGAAGACACAGACACUUUCCUGCUAAUAUGCCUGGAGUUCAGUCUACGACAAUAGAGCAGAAUACCACAUUACUUUCUCAAGUUCUCCAGACAGAAGAAAGAAAGGAUCAGUACUCAUCAUCCAUGCUUAAACGGGAAGUGCACUCACAUAGACAAACCUCUCUCCCUCUCAUUUUUCGCUUCUUCAUGUAGCUUUACCGGACUUGUCUUUCACUUCGGUACUGCGAGCACUUCUCUUUUCUCUCUUGUCCUACAUGACAAUACUUUAUCAUCUUUUUUUCAGGUGAAAUGCGAAACUGUUUGAUAGGUGCCAGUGACCAGCAGUAUGUCAUUGUUUGCCUGCAGCUGACCUUGCUAAACAGCGGGAAAGUGAAUGAGGAAGACUGAACAAAAAAAGAAACACAGGAACUUAAGCAGUUCUUCUUUCACCACAUGUUAAUUGUUUGGGUUUUUCAUGUGUCUGUCAGUAUUGCUACUGUUAAGGUGAGAAUUUCCCCCAAACCUCAUCAGAUAAUAAAGGAAGUAUCACCUUGAACAGCUCUUUUCUACUUGGUUGAAUGACAUUAAUACUAAAGAUAGUUUUUUU